rnacentral:rRNA from 1 species
UUUAGCGGCGGACGGGUGAGUAACACGUGGGUAAUCUGCCUGUAAGACGGGGAUAACUCCGGGAAACCGGGGCUAAUACCGGAUAACAAGAGAAGAAGCAUUUCUUCUUUUUGAAAGUCGGCAUCUCGCUGACACUUACAGAUGAGCCCGCGGCGCAUUAGCUAGUUGGUGAGGUAACGGCUCACCAAGGCGACGAUGCGUAGCCGACCUGAGAGGGUGAUCGGCCACACUGGGACUGAGACACGGCCCAGACUCCUACGGGAGGCAGCAGUAGGGAAUCUUCGGCAAUGGGCGAAAGCCUGACCGAGCAACGCCGCGUGAGCGAUGAAGGCCUUCGGGUCGUAAAGCUCUGUUGUUAGAGAAGAACAAGUACGAGAGUAACUGCUCGUACCUUGACGGUACCUAACCAGAAAGCCACGGCUAACUACGUGCCAGCAGCCGCGGUAAUACGUAGGUGGCAAGCGUUAUCCGGAAUUAUUGGGCGUAAAGCGCGCGCAGGCGGUCUCUUAAGUCUGAUGUGAAAGCCCACGGCUCAACCGUGGAGGGUCAUUGGAAACUGGGAGACUUGAGUGCAGGAGAGAAAAGUGGAAUUCCACGUGUAGCGGUGAAAUGCGUAGAGAUGUGGAGGAACACCAGUGGCGAAGGCGGCUUUUUGGCCUGUAACUGACGCUGAGGCGCGAAAGCGUGGGGGAGCAAACAGGAUUAGAUACCCUGGUAGUCCACGCCGUAAACGAUGAGUGCUAGGUGUUGGGGGGGUUCCACCCUCAGUGCUGAAGUUAACACAUU